GCUAUAUUAGGAUUCUGUGUAUACUUAAUGAUUAGUGUUUGUAUAUAGAAUAAAUUGUUGUAAUUCUCUUUUAUGUAUGCGUGGUCUUGGAAAAGCCUGUUAAAUAUUAUUGUGUCCUCGUUUUGCUGCAUGCUCAAUGUUAUAAACGUCUUACCUCCGCUGCAAACUUUGUGGUCAAGCAUGACUGGCGAGCAACGACAAUGAAAAACUUAAAUAGUAUUUCCUAAAAGGAUCUGUCCAAUUAUAAGCUACGAUCUUUGACAAUAUAGGAACGGAGGGCGCUAUUCCUUUCAAAUUAUAUGAAAUUACAGCAGCUGUCCCAUAGUUUCUGGCAAAGAUUGUCU